UACAGAGGGUGCAAGCGUUGUUCGGAAUUAUUGGGCGUAAAGGGUGCGUAGGCGGUGCGGUAAGUCUCUUGUGAAAUCUCCGAGCUCAACUCGGAAAUGGCAUUGGAAACUACCUUGCUCGAGGGUUGGAGGGGGGACUGGAAUGCUUGGUGUAGCAGUGAAAUGCGUAGAUAUCAAGCGGAACACCAGUGGCGAAGGCGAGUCCCUGGACAACUCCUGACACUGAGGCACGAAAGCUAGGGGAGCAAACAGG
rnacentral:rRNA from 1 species